CCCUAUGGGGUGCAGCAGGGGCGAAACCUCCACAAUGCACGCAAGUGCGAUGGGGUUACCUCGAGUGCCGCCUGAAGAAGGCGGCUUUUCCACGGUGUAAUGAGCCGUGGGAAUAAGGGGGGGGCAAGACUGGUGUCAGCCGCCGCGGUAACACCAGCCCCCCGAGUGGUGGGGAUGAUUAUUUGGCCUAAAGCGUCCGUAGCCGGCCCGGUAAAUCUCUCGUUAAAUCCAGCGUCCCAAGCGUUGGGCUGCGAGGGAGACUGCCGGGCUAGAGGGUGGGAGAGGUCAGCGGUAUUUCUGGGGUAGGGGCGAAAUCCAUUGAUCCCAGGAGGACCACCAGUGGCGAAGGCUGCUGACUAGAACACGCCUGACGGUGAGGGACGAAAGCUGGGGUAGCGAAUCGGAUUAGAUACCCGAGUAGUCCCAGCCGUAAACGAUGCAGGCCAGGUGUUGGGCCGGCCACGCGCCGGCUCAGUGCCACAGGGAAGCCAUUAAGCCUGCCGCCUGGGGAGUACGGCCGCAAGGCUGAAACUUAAAGGAAUUGGCGGGAGAGCACCACCAGGCGUGAAGCCUGCGGUUUAAUUGGAGUCAACGCCGGGAACCUUACCGGGAGCGACAGCAGAGUGAAGGCCAGGUUGAAGGUCUUGCCGGACGAGCUGAGAGGAGGUGCAUGGCC
rnacentral:rRNA from 1 species